rnacentral:rRNA from 1 species
UGUAGCAAUACAAGGCAGACGGCUCAGUAACGCGUAGUCAACCUACCCUAUGGACGGGAAUAACCUCGGGAAACUGAGUAUAAUGCCCGAUAGAACACUAUACCUGGAAUGGUUUGUGUUCCAAAUGAUUUAUCGCCAUAGGAUGGGACUGCGGCCUAUCAGUUUGUUGGUGAGGUAAUGGCCCACCAGGACUAUUACAGGUACGGGCUCUGAGAGGAGUGGCCCGGAGAUGGGUACUGAGACACGGACCCAGGCCCUAUGGGGCGCAGCAGGCGAGAAAACUUUGCAAUGUGCGAAAGCACGACAAGGUUAAUCCGAGUGGUUUCUGCUAAAGGAACCUUUUGUCAGUCCUAGAAACACUAACGAAUAAGGGGUGGGCAAGUUCUGGUGUCAGCCGCCGCGGUAAAACCAGCACCUCAAGUGGUCAGGAUGAUUAUUGGGCCUAAAGCAUCCGUAGCCGGCUCUGUAAGUUUUCGGUUAAAUCUGUACGCUUAACGUACAGGCUGCCGGGAAUACUGUAGAGCUAGGGAGUGGGAGAGGUAGACGGUACUCGGUAGGAAGGGGUAAAAUCCUUUGAUCUAUUGAUGACCACCUGUGGCGAAGGCGGUCUACCAGAACACGUCCGACGGUGAGGGAUGAAAGCUGGGGGAGCAAACCGGAUUAGAUACCCGGGUAGUCCCAGCUGUAAACUAUGCAAACUCAGUGAUGCAUUGGCUUGUGGCCAAUGCAGUGCUGCAGGGAAGCCGUUAAGUUUGCCGCCUGGGAAGUACGUACGCAAGUAUGAAACUUAAAGGAAUUGGCGGGGGAGCACCACAAGGGGUGAAGCCUGCGGUUCAAUUGGA